rnacentral:lncRNA from 1 species
GAGGAUUUUUUAACAAGUAUUAGGAUAUUAUGUAUCAAAGUUAGGCAAGUAGAAAGAUAGAUCAAGAUUAAUUCAUUCUGCCUAAAUAGAGAUAUCUUUCUCUUCUCCUUUUUACAAAUUUAUUUAACUUUCAGAUUUUAAAGAUGAUUGUGAACGACAAAUCUGAAAUUUCUUUUCAAUAAUACCCAAAAAUUUAUGCAGUAUUUCAAACAUUCAAUCAAAUUAUCUAAGCAUGGAGCAUUACAAAAUAUUGAGAACCCAUAAUUCAAAACAUCAU